GGGGAAUCGCUUGAACCUGGGAGGCAGAGGUUGCAGUGAGCUGAGAUCGUGCCACUGCACUCCAGCCUGGCAACACAGCAAGACCCCAUCUCAAAAAAUAAUAAUAAUAAUAAUAAAGACAACUCCAUGAGAUAAGUGUUAUUCUCCCACUUAGCAAUGAAAAUAUCCAGAUACAGAGAACACAAUUAACUUACCAAGCUUCCUAUGGUUAAUUACUGGCAAACCUGAUACUUAACCACCUAAGUGUAACUCCAGAUGCUGGCUCUUCAUUUUUCUAUUGCUUCUAACAUUAGCACCUUGCCUUCUGACCCUCUCCCUUUACUCUUCCACAAGGUAUUUAGAGAUCCAGUAAUUCAAAAGUGAUUGUCAGUCCUUUUUUAGUGUAUACUUUAAUUUUUAGGGUUUUUUGUUGUUGUUGUUUGUUUAGAUAGGGUCUGGCUCUGUCACUCAGGCUGGAAUGCAGUGGCACGAUCACAGCUCACCGUAGCCUCGACCUUCUGGGUUUAAGUGAUCCUUCCACCUCAGCUUCUCAAGUGAUUGAGACCACAGACGUGCGCCAUCAUGCCCGGCUAAUUUUCUAAUUUUUGUAGAGACAGGGUCUCUGUAUGUUACCCAGGCUGGUCUCAAACUACUGGGCUCAAGCGAUCCUCCCACUUUGGACUCCUAAAGUUUUGGGAUUAGGGGCAUAAGCCAUGGCGGCUGGCCUGUGUAUAUUUUUAAACAGCAAUUUUAAAACUUCUUUAGAACUUAUCUUGGCAUUAGUUUUUUUCGAGACAGAGUCUCACUCUGUCGCCCGGGCUGGAGUGCAGUGGCACAAUCUUGGCUCACUGCAACCUCCACAUCCUGGGUUCAAGAGAUUCUCGUGCCUCAGCCUCCAGAGUAGCUGGGAUUACAGGCGUGCACCACCACACCCAGCUAAUUUUUGUAUUUUUUAUUUUUAUUUUUUUUGAGAGGGAAUUUCGCUCUGUUGCCCAGGCUGGAGUGCAAUGGCGUGAUCUCGGCUCACUGCAACCUCCGCCUCCCAGGUUAAAGCGAUUCUCCUGCCUCAGCCUCCCAAGUAGCUGGGAUUACAGGCAUGUGCCACCACGCUUGGCUAAUUUUUUUUUUAGUAGAGAUAGGGUUUCUCCUUGUUGGUCAGGCUGGUCUCGAACUCCCAACCUCAGGUGAUCCGCCCACCUCGGCCUCCCAAUUUUUAGUUUCUAAAAUUACUUUUGAUCUCUAAAAUUGUAAUCAAACCUACUAAUAUAAAAACCCAAUUGAGAUUCACCAACGAACUAGUCGCAAAAUGUUUUAUUUGUAAUAAACUUAAAAUCGUCCCUUCUGUUCACACGCUGGUCCUUUUCUCUCCCACUUCUUGCAAGGCCUUCAGAGCUCCUCCCCAAAACUAAGGAGGUGCUAAAGGAUGUGAGAAAAUGACAAUCCAGAACAUUUCUGAGUGGGCUUAGGUGUUCACUGAGUAAAAACAGGAUUUUGGGGGAGGCAGUAUAGGCAAAAUGAUGUUUCUUAGAUGUUAGCUUAUUUUUAAAAAUUGUUUUUUGUAACCUGAUCCAAUAGCUAUUCCAUCACGCUUUUUUUUUUCUUUUGACAGUAGAGAUGGGCACGGGGGAGGGUCUUGCGAUGCUGCCCAAGCUGGUCUUGAACUGCUGGCCUUGAGUGAUCCUCCUGCCUUGGCCUCUCAAAGUGCUCGGAUUACAGUGUAAGCCACGGAACCCAGCCCCAUCAUGCCUUUAAGUGUUCAAUGCACAGAAUAGAUAGAGGCCAAUAGUCCAUUUCAAUCAGAUUUUAAAAAAAGUAAUGCAAAAGAUGGGAGAAUUUAUUGCUGACUGUUACUUAUUAUGCAAUAAUUUACUUUAAAAUACUUCAAAUAUAAACUGUGUAAUGGAUGUGUGCUGUGUAAUUUAACUUCAAUCUUGUUCUGGGGGUAAGUUAGUAUUUGAAGCACCUCAAUCAGGUGGCUAGGAAGAUGCUUUAAACACUUAUCUAAAUAUACGCCAGAGUGUUCAUCAGCAUAAGGGAUAUUAGUAAUUUUUCACUGAUGAAUGCAGCCUGAAAAGUAGGUGGUUGUCUAGACUUUUAGAGGCAAAAUGCAUGAAAUGAGGUGUAAGAAUCUGGCAGAUCCUGCAAAAUAAUGACUUUUUAUAGUAUCUCAGGUCUAGAGAUCUCCUUGCCCCUGUACCUUCCCCCUCCAGCACUCCACACACGUUUAUGACUGUGGCCUGAUCCAACCAAGCAAUUAGGUUUCUUAAUUCUGCUUUCAGAAUAUCACUGCUUCUGCUUCACUGUGAACUUUUUAGUCAAGGUGUUUGUGGUGCGGUUAUGUAGGAGGACACAUAUAGCCUUACUUUCCUGUAAUAGCUAGAGGUACCACCAAAUGGACCUGUGAUUGGUGACUAAAUUGGCCUAGAUAGUUUGCAAUGGUGUAGGAAGGAAACUAAAAGCCCAUUCACUCUCAUUUCAUACUGAGGGCCAUAUUUGAUUCCUGAGCGCUCCCCUUAAUGUAGGGUGAAUACUGAAGACCUCCUUAAGGUCUGCAAGUAAAUAUAGAUUUUUCCAGUGCUGGCCAAAAAGCAAGCCAGCCAUUGUAAAGGUCAGGGUCAUUCUCUGGCAGCGCUGCUCUUUAACACAAUAUAAUUAAGAAUUUUGCACCACUUCUAAUUAAAACUUGAUUACUUAGAAGGCUUUCCGUUUGCUAAUGAUGACUAAAGUUUAAAAACACACAUGAAAAAGAAAAACAGCCAAAAUACACCUACUGCUCUAAAUUUUAAAUAAGGCUAUCCUAUAUGCUUAAUCAACAGGAGGCUAGGAAAAUGUCACUGAGUUAAAUGAAGGACAAUCUGAAGACUCAAGAAUCAAUCUGAGUGAAGUUAUAACAUAUGAGAAAGCUAAAAGUAAAACUAUGUCAAACAUUUUAUUUGGUGUUUCAUGCUAUGUUGAUUUAAACAAAUUAAACAAGUUUGUUGAACAGAUUUCUU
rnacentral:lncRNA from 10 species